rnacentral:rRNA from 1 species
UACGUAGGCAGCAAGCGUUGUUCGGAGUUACUGGGCGUAAAGGGUGCGUAGGCGGCUUUUUAAGUUUGGUGUGAAAUCUCCCGGCUCAACUGGGAGGGUGCGCCGAAUACUGAGAGGCUAGAGUGUGGGAGAGGAAAGUGGAAUUCCUGGUGUAGCGGUGAAAUGCGUAGAGAUCGGGAGGAACACCAGUGGCGAAGGCGGCCUUCUGGACCAAUACUGACGCUCAUGCACGAAAGCGUGGGGAGCAAACAGG